rnacentral:rRNA from 1 species
AUAUCAAUAAGCGGAGGAAAAGAAAAUAACAAUGAUUCCCUUAGUAACUGCGAGUGAAGAGGGACAAGCUCAAAUUUUAAAUCUGUUAGGUUUACCUAACCGAGUUGUAAUUUGAAGAGGCGUUUCCUGUGAUUCUGAUCAGCCCAAGUCCUAUUGAAUGAGGCAUCAUGGAGGGUGAUAAUCCCGUCCGGCUGAUCAUUGCGUUUUACGAUACGCUUUCUAAGAGUCAAGUUGUUUGGGAUUGCAGCUUAAAAUGGGAGGUAAAUUUCUCCUAAGGCUAAAUAACGGCGAGAGACCGAUAGCGAACAAGUACCGUGAGGAAAAGAUGAAAAGUACUUUGAAAAGAGAGUUAAAUAGCACGUGAAAUUGUUGAAAGGGAAACGAUUGAAGCCAGUCGUACCUGCGGACAAUCAGCCUUUCGGGUGCGAUUCUGUGGAGCGUGAGGAGUUAAACGCCUUCAUGCCUGCGUAUUUGUAUUCUGGGGUGUACUUGGACGUGCGGUAGGUUAACAUCAAUUUCGGAUGUCAUAAAAUGGCUGGAGGAAUGUAGCUUCGGUCUCGUACUGAAGUGUUAUAGCCUUCGGUAGAUGUGAUGACCGGGAUUGAGGAUUGCAACGAAUACCCUUUGGGCUACCCGCCUGAUCUCUGAAAGCUGCUCUGGUGCCGAAAGCUUGCUUACGGUUAUCAAAGUUGACGUUCAAAAGGUUAGAACGGGUUAAAUUCGUUAAGGAUGUUGACGUAAUGGCUUUAAACGACCCGUCUUGAAACACGGAC